GGUAGUAUUAACCUUACCUGGUGUGGGUUGAAGUUUGAAGAAUAACUUCACCUCCACUCUUCUCAUGAUCAGCUCUGCUGCUGACCUGGUCAACCAGGGUAGACGCUAGUUAAUUGGAGCAAGAUCCCUGUCUACAGGACGUAGUGGGACAUUACGACUCCUCACCUCUAAAAUCUGAAUUGUGGUGAUACAACCAAGUAGUGACAGGAUUUUCAGAACAUGGGACGAACACCGCCACCCAGGAUAACCAACACCAUUUCUUCUAAAACAUCAUCAGAAGACCAUCCUGGGAAUAAGAUUCUCAUGUCCCAACAUCCUACUGGAACCACAGCGGCCAAUAUUUAUUUUAUUUAUUUUUAAUUAAAAUCCUUAGAAAAACAUAAUUAUUAUCCAUCAAGUUA